rnacentral:rRNA from 1 species
ACUCAAAGGAAUUGACGGGGGCCCGCACAAGCGGUGGAGCAUGUGGUUUAAUUCGACGCAACGCGAAGAACCUUACCUGGGUUAAAUCGCCUCGAAUUCCGCAGAAAAGUGGAAGUGCCCUUCGGGGAGCGAGGUAGAAGGUGCUGCAUGGCUGUCGUCAGCUCGUGUCGUGAGAUGUUGGGUUAAGUCCCGCAACGAGCGCAACCCUCGUCGUUAGUUACUAACGGGUCAAGCCGAGGACUCUAACGAGACUGCCGACGUUAAGUCGGAGGAAGGUGGGGAUGACGUCAAGUCCUCAUGGCCCUUAUGCCCAGGGCUACACACGUGCUACAAUGGCCGGUACAAAGGGUUGCAAGCCUGCGAAGGUAAGCCAAUCUCAAAAAACCGGUCUCAGUUCGGAUUGGAGUCUGCAACUCGACUCCAUGAAGUUGGAAUCGCUAGUAAUCGCGGAUCAGCACGCCGCGGUGAAUACGUUCCCGGGCCUUGUACACACCGCCCGU